UGAACUUGUAUUUCUUAUUAUUUAAAAAAAAUAUAUUAAAAAUAUUUUUAAAAGAACGCAGCUGUGCGUUUGAGAAACGACCGGAAACGACUUAUAUGUCGCGAGGCCAUCACGUGACCACAAUAUUUACCAGAAGACCGUUAUUUGCUCGAGUUCCCUCAACUUUUUUGUCACAAAUAACAUUAUUAAUAACCUGUAAAUAAUAAAAUUUGUACACAUUACGUUCCUUUUCACGUUGUAAUAGUAUGUUUUUGGUUUAAUAGUCGGCUUUAAGUUAGUUUUUCUGUCAGUUUGAUCGUCAAAAUCUUGAAAGUUAUCUACAGCCACACAUCCACUGUAUACCAAGUUAUGAUGAUCAAUUAUGAGAAUGCAAAAUGAUUUAUAGAUCAGUAAACAAUCAACAAAAAGGUAAUGUCUUAAUUAAUAUAUUUCUGCUUUUGUUACUUAUUCAUGUAUUUGAAUUACAUCAUUCAAAAUCAAAUGUUAAUAAUUAUAGGGUUUCAACUUGUUGCAGCUUUACAAAAAAUGUAGAAUUUGUAGGAGCAUGGACAACUGAGUAACAAAGUCAUAUUAUGCAGAUGGGUGCUCAUGGUGGCCUCCAAAUAAAUACAUGGACAGGCUGCUAAAGAGGGUCAGGAUGAUGGAGAUGCAAGAGCCAAAGACAGCACGGACCAAACACCAGGCCAGAAUUCUGCAUGAGUCAGUUUCCAGCCUUUUUCACAAAGUUGCCGACAACUGGAAGAAUGUCCCAAAUUGCUGAAAAAAGAAAUUCAGUAAGUCCUUAUAAAAGAGACAGUUUAAAAGGUAAAACGGCUUCAUUUAACUUCAAAAAUACCCCUAAAUCCUUAAAGAACACGCCCACAUUUUGGGAAUUUAGCUUAUUCACCAUAUCCCCCAGAGUUAGAU